GGUGAGAUGGCCGAGCGGUCCAAGGCGCCACGUUAAGGUCUUCCUUAAUCAAUAUCCCCUAACCCAGGAUUCCGUGGUCCGAAAGGGCGUGGGUUCGAAUCCCACUCUCAUCA
rnacentral:tRNA from 1 species